CAUCGCGAUGCUCUCUUCAUAGGAACAUCGUGAUGAGGAUACUAUCAAAGCGUCAGCUCAAGGAGUUGGUUCUGUACUCACCGCAGCACAUCGCACGAUUGGAAAAGGCCGGGCAAUUCCCCACGCGGGUACAACUUGGCCCUUCCCGAGUGGGGUGGGUUGAAGCUGAAGUGCUCGACUGACUCCAGAAACGGUUGGAUCGUCGAGAAGCGCCUAGCCGACACUCCUUCUGAAGGAGCGCUUGAAGGCUGACGCCGA
rnacentral:ncRNA from 1 species